CACAGCUGAGCAUGACAGAGACAGGCCUGGGUUUGGGAGAAAACUGCUAUUGCCACUACCUUCAUCCACACAGUUCUGCAAUUUAACAGAUAAAUGAUGUCUUUCAGGUAUUCCCAGUGAUGCUGAAAUACUUGACUUGGGGGUGAAACACAUGAAAGCAGCAGUGGUGCUGGUCUAGACAGACACUCCCACCCCCAUCUCAGAGAAGAGGAAAGGGAGGUGUGGUGGUUAAUUUUUUGUGUCAACUUGACUGGGUCACAGGAUGUCCAGAGAGCCGAUUGACUGGGGCAGCACUAAAGGAACAGUUCAGGAUUGGAGAAGCUUCAGAUGCUUAGAAUAUUCCUGAAAAUCUGUCCCAGAGCAGUCUGAUAUAGAUACACAAUUCGUCUCCAGGUAGGUGCUCUGUGCUGUAUGCCACAAAGAAACACAGGUAAUUCUCUCAAGGCAAUUUUUUAAGGGUAGGGGGAAUGGAGAGAUGCUCAUAUGUUUGCUUUGCUCCAAGCCCUGGAAACUUAAUUCAAAAGGUAGUAUCCAUUAAUUAGGUUUAGGGAUGUGCAGAUGGUGAUAACCUAAAAUGGUUCUUUAACUUAGGACCUUAAUGAAGGCCAAAUAAUUCAUUGAAAAUGCAUAAAUGAGAGGGGGACUCAAGAUGGCGCAGUGAGAACAACCC
rnacentral:lncRNA from 1 species